rnacentral:lncRNA from 1 species
GCGGCGUGCGCAGCGUCCGCGCGGGCCGAGCCGAAGCGGGCCGGCCUGCGAGCCGAAAUCCGGCCACCCGCUGCAGUGUCUUUUCUUUUUUUUCUUUUAUGUAGUUUUUGUUUUAUAUUUGAAUUUGUGUAAUAAAUUGUGUGGUGAUCCAAAAAUAAUGAGAAUUUUUGUAUAAACUCUCUGAAAUAUGUAGGAUCCAAGAAAAAUACUAGAUUCUGCUUUCUAAUAGUUUGCAAGGAUAUAAAAAUUGGCCCUUUUAAUUAGCAAAUAAAAUUUGUAUGAUUUUUAAUAAUUUAUUUGUAUGUCCAAAAAUCACCAAAAAUUGUGGGGAGCCUCUGAAUAUUAUUCCCUGGCUCCACACAAAAUUUUGUGGCAUUUGGAUAAGGUUUGCUUAAAAUGUUAAUAAACCCUUAUUUAGUGCCUAAGUAAUAAUUCCAAAAUAAUUAAAUAAUAAUUAGUUAAAUCCUCAUCAUUAGGGUUGAGUGAUAUUGGGAUUGUGUAAUGACCUGAGGUCAUUAACCCUAGUGACCUUUGGCAUUUAAUUAUUGUUUAGCCUUAAUGCUUAAUUACUAUCAUUAAUAGUUAAUUAAGAAUUAAUUAAGGUAAAUAGGAUUAAUAAUUAGUUAAUUCAGGUUAAUUAUGGAUUAAAAGAGAUUUUAUUUUACAGAUGCAACCUCUUGGGUAAAAACAUUAAGAUGUUAAACAACUUUAUUUACUGAUUAAUCUGUAUUGCAUUAAGAAGGCAAAUUGUACUCGACUUGAUCCUUCUUGCAUAGUUGUCAUACGCAUAUCAUGAGCAUUCAUCAUUUUGCGUAUAGUAUCCGUGACCGAAGGAGCGCCCGUUGAACCGAAUCCCGAGGUCGGUGCUCCGUUCGAGGAAGUAGGAUCCGAGACUUGGGAAGUCUCCGAGGGUCCGUCUCUGCCCUGCAACCAAGGCAAGCCCCGGAUGCAUUAACCCCUCCUUGAAUGUUUUAAAUCUUUUAUCACUUAUGAAUUGAAAAUGCUGCAU